UACAGAGGGUGCAAACGUUGUUCGGAAUUAUUGGGCGUAAAGAGCUCGUAGGCGGUUCGUCGCGUCGGCUGUGAAAACCCGGAGCUCAACUCCGGGCCUGCAGUCGAUACGGGCGGACUUGAGUGUUGCAGGGGAGACUGGAAUUCCUGGUGUAGCGGUGAAAUGCGCAGAUAUCAGGAGGAACACCGGUGGCGAAGGCGGCAUCCUGGACCAACACUGACGCUGAGGAGCGAAAGCCAGGGGAGCAAACGGG
rnacentral:rRNA from 1 species